GGAGAAGUACUCAAGUUGGCCGAAGAGGUGCCCCUGCUAAGGGUAUAGGUCGUGUAAGCGGCGCGAGGGUUCAAAUCCCUCCUUCUCCG
rnacentral:tRNA from 1 species